rnacentral:rRNA from 1 species
AGAGUUUGAUCAUGGCUCAGGAUGGACGCUGGCGGCGUGCCUAACACAUGCAAGUCGAGCGUAUUUACUUCGGUAAAGAGCGGCGGACGGGUGAGUAACGCGUGGGUAACCUGCCCUGUACACACGGAUAACAUACCGAAAGGUAUGCUAAUACGAGAUAAUAUACUUUUAUCGCAUGGUAGAAGUAUCAAAGCUUUUGCGGUACAGGAUGGACCCGCGUCUGAUUAGCUAGUUGGUAAGGUAACGGCUUACCAAGGCGACGAUCAGUAGCCGACCUGAGAGGGUGAUCGGCCACAUUGGAACUGAGACACGGUCCAAACUCCUACGGGAGGCAGCAGUGGGGAAUAUUGCACAAUGGGCGAAAGCCUGAUGCAGCAACGCCGCGUGAGCGAUGAAGGCCUUCGGGUCGUAAAGCUCUGUCCUCAAGGAAGAUAAUGACGGUACUUGAGGAGGAAGCCCCGGCUAACUACGUG